UCUAGACCAACUAUCAAUCUGUCUCCCAUGCUCACUAAACCAUGUCACUCACUGCCACAUCUAUGUGUUUCAUGAACACCUCCAGAGAAAAUGACUUCACUGCUUGCCUGGGCAGCCUGUUUCAAUACCACACCAAAUGCUAUCCAUCUCUACCUAAAUUUUAUGUCUCUCAAACUGAUAGGAACUCAGAGAUGGGGAGGUAGCAGGACCACGUAGGGUAAGGGAAGAGAGAAACAAGGACUCGUAUAGUAUUGUAGGAACUAACUGAUGAAUUUUCCUUUGGAUGUGUCUAAAGUGUGAGUUUAGUAAUGAAAUUUUCUGAAAACAUCUGGACAGCAGGAGGUAGCACUGAAGAUGCUAUUGGUUCCAUUACAGAUGACUGCAACAAAACUGACUAAAACCAGGUUCAAAAGUGGGAGCUCCAGAGUUCACUCUGGACUGGGCAACUUAGAGUCGGACGUAAUCUUUCCACGUGGGAAAGCUAUUACAUGUCAGCUUACGCCUUUCUGGGCCAGUGGAGUAGGAAAUGCCUUAAGGACAGUGGCACAGUAAGACAGUAAUUCUUGUGUGAAUCUCUACCAAUUACUGGAUAUUGUUUAUCUGUAGAGCUAGAUUUAAGCUGCUACAUCCAGACCAAAAUUCUUAAAAUUGACACAGAACUCAUGCCUGAGGCUUUUCCUUUUCUUGUUUGUUUGUGACUCAUUGCCAGACAACAUGGAAAUGUUAAGUAAUCUCAGGAAAGCUGAUAGGAAAUGUUCUGCUAAGAGAAAUUUCGACACAGUAGGAGGGGAAUUUUUCAGCAGAAAUAAACAUCUCUUUUCUGCUUUUCUUUUUGUUUUAAACAAUACAUGGCUGAGCUUAUGGAAAGCACCCAAGUCUAUGAUAAAUAUGUGCAAGAGACUUCCACUUGUUGUCAAUAGAUUUCUCUUUGUUACAGCUGUCUGCAGCUUCUUAUCCUUAAAAAAUAAUUUCUUUUGUUGCCAAAAUUUUUGGCUGUGAGAGAAGGUUUCACCUUGUUACAGUAAUUUAAAAA
ensembl:lncRNA